rnacentral:misc_RNA from 1 species
GGAAGUAAAAGCGUAACAAGGUCUCCGUAGGUGAACCUGCGGAGGGAUCAUUACAGAGUUCAUGCCCUACCGGGUAGAUCUCCCACCCUAUGUUAUUAUUACUUAGUUGCUUUGGCGGGCCGUUAGGCUCCGGCCCGACUACCGGCCCCGGCUGGUAAGCGCCCGCCAGAGGACCCAAAACCCUGAAUAUUAGUGUCGUCUGAGUACUAUAUAAUAGUUAAAACUUUCAACAACGGAUCUCUUGGUUCUG